AUUGAACGCUGGCGGCAGGCCUAACACAUGCAAGUCGAACGAGUGGCGGACGGGUGAGUCAUGUCUGGGAAACUGCCUGAUGGAGGGGGAUAACUACUGGAAACGGUAGCUAAUACCGCAUACCAUCAGAUGUGCCCAGAUGGGAUUAGCUUGUUGGUGGGGUAACGGCUCACCAAGGCGACGAUCCCUAGCUGGUCUGAGAGGAUGACGCGCCACUCAGGAACUUGGACACGGUCCAGUCUCCGACGGGAGGCAGCAGUGGGGAAUAUUGCACAAGGGGCGCAAGCCUGAUGCAGCCAUGCCGCGUGUAUGAAGAAGGCCUUCGGGUUGUAAAGUACUUUCAGCGUGGAGGCGUUACCCGCAGAAGAAGCACCGGCUAACUCCGUGCCAGCCGCCGCGGUAAUAC
rnacentral:rRNA from 1 species